rnacentral:rRNA from 1 species
GACGAACCGUGCGAACGUUAUUCGGAAUCACUGGGCUUAAAGGGCGCGUAGGCGGGCUCGCCAGUCAGGGGUGAAAGCCCACGGCUUAACCGUGGAAGUGCCUCUGAUACUGCGGGUCUCGAGGGAGGUAGGGGCGUGCGGAACUUCCGGUGGAGCGGUGAAAUGCGUAGAUAUCGGAAGGAACACCGGUGGCGAAAGCGGCGCGCUGGACCUCUUCUGACGCUGAGGCGCGAAAGCCAGGGGAGCGAACGGG